CCUACGGGUGGCAGCAGUGAGGAAUAUUGGUCAAUGGGCGAGAGCCUGAACCAGCCAAGUCGCGUGAAGGAUGACGGCCCUACGGGUUGUAAACUUCUUUUGUCAGGGAGCAAUUGAGUCCACGUGUGGUCUUAGCGAGAGUACCUGAAGAAAAAGCAUCGGCUAACUCCGUGCCAGCAGCCGCGGUAAUACGGAGGAUCCGAGCGUUAUCCGGAUUUAUUGGGUUUAAAGGGAGCGUAGGAGGAUUGUUAAGUCAGUUGUGAAAGUUUGCGGCUCAACCGUAAAAUUGCAGUUGAAACUGGCAGUCUUGAGUACAGUAGAGGUGGGCGGAAUUCGUGGUGUAGCGGUGAAAUGCUUAGAUAUCACGAAGAACUCCGAUUGCGAAGGCAGUUCACUGGACUGCAACUGACACUGAGGCUCGAAAGUGUGGGUAUCAAACAGGAUUAGAUACCCGAGUAGUC
rnacentral:rRNA from 1 species